CCUACGGGAGGCAGCAGUGAGGAAUCUUGGUCAAUGGACGAGAGUCUGAACCAGCCAAGUAGCGUGAAGGAUGACUGCCCUAUGGGUUGUAAACUUCUUUUAUAUGGGAAUAAAGUGUUGCACGUGUGGGAUUUUGUAUGUACUAUAUGAAUAAGGAUCGGCUAACUCCGUGCCAGCAGCCGCGGUAAUACGGAGGAUCCGAGCGUUAUCCGGAUUUAUUGGGUUUAAAGGGAGCGUAGGUGGGUUGUUAAGUCAGUUGUGAAAUUUUUGGGCGUAAACGGAAAAUUGCAAGUGGAACUUGGAGGAUUGAGGAAAGGUAGGGGUGGGGGGAAUCGUGGGGG
rnacentral:rRNA from 1 species